AGAAUCAUGCAGGAAUUUAUUUGCUUUUAUUUGCUUUCCAUGUAUAGCAUCCUUGUAAAGUCUAUAUAUAAUAUACAAAACUCAAGGCCAAGGUAGUCGGUCAUUCACAGAAUAUUUUGACAUGGUAUCAGAGCUUAUGUUCUGAACCUAGAGUUUACACUCUUUCUAGUUUUUCUUUGGGUUUUCUCGGAUUUAGCCCUAAGGGCUCUCAGAUUUAGCCCUAGGGGCUCUCGAACUCUAGUCCAACUUUUGGGGUUUUUUUAUUUUUUAUUUUUUUUUAUUUUUAUUUUUUUCUGGUGGUUGUGACAACACAUCUAUGGUAUGAUCUUGGAGUUUUCUUUGGGUUUCUUCGAUUCUAGGCUCUUGGAGAUCUUCGAUUAUUUGAAGGUUUGUUAUCAGAUUUAGGCUAUUUGACAAUGUUUUUGUUUCUUAGGCUAUUUCUGUCUUCAUAAUGUCUGGAGAAUAUUCUAUUGUUCGUUUCAAUGGCAAAAACUAUCUUAGUUGGGAGUUUUAGUUUAAGAUGUUUGUGAAAAGUAAGAAGCAAGACAGAGUCUUUAAGUCAUCUACGAAAUCUGAGUAUCGGGCGAUGUGUCUUGCUUGUUCUAAAAUCAUUUGGAUUUGAGGUUUGCUUGCGGAGUUAGAUUUUUCUGAGACCAAUCUUACACUUCUACAUGCCGAUAAUACAAGUGUUAUUCAGAUUAGAACCAAUCAUGUCUAUCAUGAGCACACAAAGCAUAUUGAAGUGGACUGUCACUCUAUCUGUGCAGCCUUUGAAGCUCGUGUUAUCACUCUUCCACAUAUUUCCACUGACUUACAAAUUGCUGAUAUCUUCACCAAGGCUCUCCCUCGUCAUCAACAUUGCUUGCUAAGUAGCAAAUUGAUGCUUGUUGAUCAACCUGCAUCAAUUUGAGGGGGACUGUCAAAGGACAACUUUGUUGUCCACACUUUUUUCCUUAUUUUAGCCCACAAUUGUUUCCUUAUUUCUCCAUUUAUUAUUAUGUACAGUUAGUAUAUAUUAUUUGACAGAUUAUAGUUUACAUGUAUAAGGCUAGAAUCAUGCGGGAAUUUAUUUGCUUUUAUUUGCUUUCCAUGUAUAACAUCCAUGUAAAGUCUAUAUAUAAUAUACAAAACUCAAGGCCAAGGUAGUCGGCCAUUCACACAAUAUUUUGACAUGGUAUCAGAGCUUGUGUUCUGAACCUAGAGUUUACACGCUUUCUAGUUUUUCUUUGGGUUUUCUCGGAUUUAGCCCUAGGGGCUCUCGGAUUUAGCCUUAGGGGCUCUCGGACUCUAGCCCAGCUUUUGGGUUCUUUUUUUUUUUUUUUUUUUUCUGGUGGUUGUGACAACACAUCUGUGGUGUGAUCUUGGAGUUUUCUUU
rnacentral:lncRNA from 1 species